CAGGAUGCCCAGUUAGAUUUUAAUUUCAGAAGAAGAAUCUGUUUUUAGCCCAGUUUUUCAUUUCGGACGAAUAAUCAAUAAUUUUUAAUGUAAGUGUUCCAGUUCCAGUUCAGUCGCUCAGUCGUGUCCAACUCCUUGCGAGUAUGGCCCGUGCAAUAUUCAGGACACAAGUAUACUCAAUAAGUAGGGGUUAUUUACCUGAAAUGUAAGCUUAACUGGGCAUCUUGUGUUUUUACCCGCUAACUCUGGCGCCCUACCCCUAACCGCUCGCGCCUCCCUCGCACCCCUCCACACUGCGAGAGCCCCGCCGAAGGCCUGCCCCCUCCGCCCUUACCGGGUGUCGCCCCGUGCGCCCCCCUUAGCUCGUGCGCCCCUCCUCUCUCCACUGUUUCUGCUGGGUGCCCUGCGUCUCGCCCCCGAGCGCCUGGUUCGCUCGCCUCUUCCCGAGCUCUCCACCCUCGCACCGCCCUCCCAGGCCCCGCUCAAGGGUCAGCCCAGAAUGAAGGUGGGAGACGAGUGUGUGCCGAGCAGAGUGUGCUUCUAGACGGGCCAUCUUUGGAGUCUAGCCACUGUGGUGUUGCUGCCAGUAAGCACUCUCUUCUCUUCCUCCGCCUCUAAGCUCACCAGCACUCCUUCUUAGAGUCUUGAGUGGUUUUUCCUCAUCUUCUGGCUUCAAAUUGCCUGAGUGCCCCCAGACCCAGACCUGACCUCUCCUCUACCUGCUCUGCCUUAGUGAUCUCAUCCGGGCUCGUGACUCUAAACACUGUUAAGCUGACAACUCCUGAAUUUACAUUGUCAGCCUGGACCGUUCAUCUGAAGUCUAGCCUCUAGUCUCCAACUGCCCACUUGACACCUGCACGCAGGUAUCACACGGGGGCCUCAAUGCUAGCCCCUCUAAAAACACCUGCCACCCCCUGCUCCCAGACACUUCAUAAAAGAGUGUAUGUGAAUAGCCAGUAGUCACACAUAAUAAGGUGUUCAAUGCCAUUAGUCACUAAGGAAAUGAAAAUUAAAAUCACAAUGAGACACCACUAUACAUCCAUUAGAAUGUUGAAAAUUACCAAGACUGAUCAUAAGAAGUGUUGGUGAGGAUGGGAAGCAUAUGGAGCUCUCAUACGCUGCUGGGGGACUGAAAAAUGUGCUAAACCAUUUUAGAAAACAGUUGGGUAGUUUCUUGAAAAGUUAAACAUGUCCCCACCAUAAGAUCCCAUCCAGCCAUUCCACUCCUAGGCGUUUCUCCAAGAGAAACGAAAACAUUCAUCUCCAUGAAGACUUCUGCUUUAAUGUUCAGAGCAACUUCUUUUGUAAUCACCAAAAGCUGGAAACAAUUGAAGAAGUUUGUUAACAGAUGAAUGAAUAAACAAAUCAUGGAACACCCAAACAAUGGGACCCUUCUCAACAGUUAAAAAAAAAAAAGGAAUGAAUUAUUGGUACCUAUGACGUCUCAAAAUCAUCAUACUGGAUAAAAGAAGCCAGCCUCCAUCAUGUAACAAUGAGUACAUACUUUAUUAUUUCACUUACAUAAAUUCUGGAAAAUGCAAACUAAUUUACAGUGACAGAAGUCGGUAAGCGGUGGUGGGGGGAGGAAGGGAGGAAGGUUGCAAGAGGGCACAAGAAUGGAUGUCAGAUUUGGGAGGCAAUGGAUAUGUUAAUUAUCUUAACUGUGGUGAAGUUUUUGUGGAUUUGACCUAUAGCAACACCAAUCAAAGUAUACACUUUAAAUAUGUGCCAUCUAGUGUAUUUCAAUUAUACCUCAAUAAAGUCGAAUCAAAGAACAUAGGAC
rnacentral:lncRNA from 1 species